rnacentral:rRNA from 1 species
AUGGUGGCGGCCGGCUGCAAGACCUUGCCGGACGAGUGCAAGAGCCUGUGGCGCAUCGCCGGGCCGGUGAUCCUCACCGGGCUCUUCCAGUUCCUCAUCGAGUUCGUCACCGUGGCCUUCGCCGGCCACAUCGGCAAGGUCGAGCUCGCCGCCGUCUCCACCGUCAUCAACGUCAUCCAAGGCCUCAGCUUGGGUCUUACCCAGCCACCACUCGCGCCUCCUCCUACCGCCACUGCCGCCAGCGUGGGCCACGGUGGCGGCAGGCCCGGCGCCGAAGGCACCUGGGUGGGCGAAGGCUGCGGGAUCCCAUCUGAGGCGGUAGGGGCGGCACCUCUCCUGGGAGUCCUAGGGCGGCGGCCCUAUGCCGCGUGGCGGUGGCCACAGUUCCAUGGCCGGCGGAGCGGCGGCCCUGAGAUGGACGGCGGCGGUGGCAGCGCCCCAUCCGGCGGGGUUGGCUGA